CCUACGGGUGGCAGCAGUGGGGAAUAUUGCGCAAUGGGCGAAAGCCUGACGCAGCGACGCCGCGUGAGGGAUGAAGGUCUUCGGAUUGUAAACCUCUGUCAGCAGGGAAGAACGGUCACUGUGCUAAUCAGCAGUGAAUUGACGGUACCUGCAAAGGAAGCACCGGCUAACUCCGUGCCAGCAGCCGCGGUAAUACGGAGGGUGCGAGCGUUAAUCGGAAUUACUGGGCGUAAAGCGCUCGUAGGCGGUAUGUCAAGUCAAGGGUGAAAUCCCCGGGCUCAACGUGGGAACUGCAUUUGAAACUGGCAAGCUGGAGUGUGGGAGAGGGUAGUGGAAUUCCAGGUGUAGGAGUGAAAUCCGUAGAUAUCUGGAGGAACAUCAGUGGCGAAGGCGACUAUCUGGACCAUAACUGACGCUGAGGAGCGAAAGCGUGGGGAGCAAACAGGAUUAGAUACCCGAGUAGUC
rnacentral:rRNA from 1 species